rnacentral:rRNA from 1 species
CUUUAAAGGGUCGUGGGAGAUGACCACGUUGAUAGGCUAUAGAUGUAAAGGCAGUAAUGUCAUAGUCGAGUAGUACUAAUAACCCGUAAGCUUAUGUGUA